GCUCGUUAGCCGUGGGAGGCAAUUCACCUAGGAGAGCAAACUCUAUACAAACCCGGGCAGGUGGAGGUCGUUAGCCGUGGGAGGCAAUUCACCUAGGAGAGCAAACUCUAAACAAACCCGGGCAGGUGGAGGUCGUUAGCCGUGGGAGGCAAUUCACCUAGGAGAGCAAACUCUAAACAAACCCGGGCAGGUGGAGGUCGUUAGCCGUGGGAGGCAAUUCACCUAGGAGAGCAAACUCUAAACAAACCCGGGCAGGUGGAGGUCGUUAGCCGUGAUAGGCAAUUCACCUAGGAGAGCAAACUCUAAACAAACCCGGGCAGGUGGAGGUCGUCAGCCGUGGUAGGCAAUCUGCCUAGGAGAGCAAACUCCGAACAAUAAACCCGGCCAGGUGGAGGUCGUCAGCCGUGGUAGGCAAUCUGCCUAGGAGAGCACACUCCGAACAAUAAACCCGGGCAGGUGGAGGUCGUCAGCCGUGGUAGGCAAUCUGCCUAGGAGAGCAAACUCUAAACAAACCCGGGUUUGUGGUGCUCGUUAUACUGUCGUAGACAAUCCACGCGAUGGGAACACCAAAGAAAAGGAAAAUAAAAAGGAACACCAGAAAAAUGGAAAAUACAGAAACGAAACAUCAAGAAACAAAAAGAUCAUCCACCUUUAGGCCCUAACAUCGCCAAAAUUAUGGAUGGGUCUCUUCUGGGGAGAAAGCGGCUCAUCCAGACCAAAGAACAUCAACCAAAGGAUGAUAUGAAUAAAUAAAAAAAAAAAAGCAUAAAGAAAAACACAUCAAGGAAAGAAAAAUAUAACAAACAUCAUCCACCUUCCGGCCCUGACUAACAUCACCAAAAUUAUGGGUGGGUCUCUUCUGGGGAGAAAGCGGCUCACCCAGACCAAAGAACAUCAACAAGGGAUGAUAUAGAAAAGAACACCAAAAAAAAUGGAAAAAGAUCAGAAAAAACAUCGAAAAAGAAAAGCAACAGAAAUAAAUGAACAACAUCAAGAAAAGAGAAAUACAAAGAAGCAUCAUCCACCUUUCGGUCCCAAACAACAUCACCAAAAUUAUGGAUGGGUCUCUUCUGGGAGGAAAGCGGCUCAUCCAGACCAAGGAACAUCAACAAGAGGAUGAUAGGAAAAAAGAACAUCAAAAAGCAUCAAUAAGAAGUAAAAGAAAAAGAACAGGAAAACAUCGAAAAGGAAAACUAAAGCAAUAAAAAGAACGAAAAACACGACAUCAAGAAAAUGAAAUAAAACAAACAUCAUCCACCUUUUGGCCCUAACAACAUCUCCAAAAUUAUGGGUGGGUCUCUUCUGGGAGGAAAGCGGCUCACCCAGACCAACGAACAUCGACAAAAGGAUGAUAGGAAAAAAGAACACCAAAAAAGAACACCAAAAAAGAACAUCAAAAAAGAAAA